UGAAAGCACCGUAGCACGUGCCUUUCACGAUUUGGGAGCAGGAGGCCGCGAGUUCGAGUCUCGCCACUCCGACCA
rnacentral:tRNA from 1 species